rnacentral:tRNA from 1 species
GUCGCCAAGCGGUAAGGCAUUGGACUCUGACUCCAAUAUGCAUAGGUUCGAAUCCUAUCU